GAUUUCAACUGAAAACGUCAUCAACAAGAAAGUUGUAUAACUCUUCAAGAUCUAUAACUUUUAUUUAGGUCAUUUCUUCAUCCGACAAAGUGAUAGUAAGAUUGUUCAUAAAAUUCACAUAUUUCUCAUCUAGUUUUAUAAAAUAUAACACAGAUAUGUAAAUUUUGUAAACAAUGUUACUAACACUUUGUCGGAUGAAGAAAUGACAAACAUAAAAGUUAUAGAUCUUAGUGAGUUAUACAACUUUAUUGUUUAUGACUUUUUUAGUUGAAAUC
rnacentral:pre_miRNA from 1 species